AUGAGGCUUCAACGACAAAUCGCCCUCCUGAUCGACGAGGAUCAAUCUGGCUUCGUGCGCGGGCGCAGCAUCUCGGAGAAUUUUGUGUAUGCCACGGAGCUGGUGCAGUGCUGCCACAGGCGGCGCGCCCCGGCGGUGGUGUUGAAGCUCGACUUCGCCAAAGCUUUUGACUCCAUCAACUGGGCGAGUUUGUGGGCUAUCAUGGAGGUGCGGGGGUUCCCGCCGCUCUGGUGCACUUGGAUGGACUCCCUUUUCCACUCCUCGCGCUCGGCUGUCCUCCUCAACGGCGUGCCGGGGAGGUGGUUCCAGGUCGGCUGUGGCCUGCGGUAGGGGGACCCCAUCUCCCCCUACCUCUUCAUCAUCGUUGCCGACGUCCUCCAACGCCUCAUC
rnacentral:rRNA from 1 species